UACGUAGGGUGCGAGCGUUAAUCGGAAUUACUGGGCGUAAAGCGUGCGCAGGCGGUUCGUUGUGUCGGUGGUGAAAUCCCCGGGCUCAACCCGGGAACUGCGUCCGAUACUGGCAGGCUUGAAUCCGGGAGAGGGAUGCGGAAUUCCAGGUGUAGCGGUGAAAUGCGCAGAUAUCGGGAGGAACACCCGUAGCGAAGGCGGCACUCUGGGCCGGUACUGACGCUGAGGAGCGAAAGCGUGGGGAGCAAACAGG
rnacentral:rRNA from 1 species